CUACGGGGCGCUGCAGGCGAGAAAACUUUGCAAUGUGCGAAAGCACGACAAGGUUAAUCCGAGUGGUUUGUGCUAAACGAACCUUUUGACAGUCCUAGAAACACUGUUGAAUAAGGGGUGGGCAAGUUCUGGUGUCAGCCGCCGCGGUAAAACCAGCACCUCAAGUGGUCAGGAUGAUUAUUGGGCCUAAAGCAUCCGUAGCCGGCUCUGUAAGUUUUCGGUUAGAUCUGUACGCUCAACGUACAGGCUGCCGGGAAUACUGCAGAGCUAGGGAGUGGGAGAGGUAGACGGUACUCGGUAGGAAGGGGUAAAAUCCUUUGAUCUAUUGAUGACCACCUGUGGCGAAGGCGGUCUACCAGAACACGUCCGACGGUGAGGGAUGAAAGCUGGGGGAGCAAACCGGAUUAGAUACCCCUGUAGUC
rnacentral:rRNA from 1 species